rnacentral:lncRNA from 1 species
UUUAACUUCAUAGGCUAUAAGCCUAAUAUUGAAGAACAUAUUGGACCCACACCACAAUUGAUGUAACCCAAUUAUAUUGGGUAUUUGGAGGAAAUCAGCCCAUUGGGCUAGAUGCUCAAUACCCGACUAUGGAGAUAAAUGAAAUCACAAAAGAUAGAAUUGGUUGCAAAUAAUUAUCUUGUGAUAAUUAUCCUAUCCCUACUGUUUCUGUUGGACUCAAAUUUAAACUUACCUGUUAUCUUGGAGAUUUGAUUUCCCUCGUGAUAAUAUACAAGAGUUUUAAUAUAUCCAAACACUCAACCAAUUUGAAUUAAAUAGAGAAGCCGGCUGCCUUCUUCUUCCAAGCGUGAGAACUUUUCCUCCUUCUCUGUGAAAACCCAAGUCGACCUUUGUGGUGUGCCUUUGUGUGCCUUUUCUUCUUCGUGAAUGAAAAAGUCUCCCAAUUGAAGUUACCUUUGUGGUGUUGGGUCGAAGAUUUCUGAGCCGAAUUAAAAAGGGGAUUUCGUUUCAUUUUCUUCCAUUUUAGUUCACUGCUUCAUUUGAUUUUUUGAACUCCAUUACAUUUAUUUAGAUUUAAUCCUUCAUUAACCAUUGUUGUGUGGUUGCAGGUUGGAUUAACAACAACAGUU